rnacentral:rRNA from 1 species
AUUGAACGCUGGCGGCAUGCCUUACACAUGCAAGUCGAACGGCAGCACGGGAGCAAUCCUGGUGGCGAGUGGCGAACGGGUGAGUAAUACAUCGGAACGUGCCCAGUAGUGGGGGAUAGCCCGGCGAAAGCCGGAUUAAUACCGCAUGAGACCUGAGGGUGAAAGCGGGGGAUCGCAAGACCUCGCGCUAUUGGAGCGGCCGAUGUCAGAUUAGCUAGUUGGUAGGGUAAAGGCCUACCAAGGCAACGAUCUGUAGUUGGUCUGAGCGGACGACCAGCCAAACUGGGACUGAGACACGGCCCAGACUCCUACGGGAGGCAGCAGUGGGGAAUUUUGGACAAUGGGCGCAAGCCUGAUCCAGCAAUGCCGCGUGCAGGAAGAAGGCCUUCGGGUUGUAAACUGCUUUUGUCAGGGAAGAAAUCUUCUGGGCUAAUACCCUGGGAGGAUGACGGUACCUGAAGAAUAAGCACCGGCUAACUACGUGCCAGCCGCCGCGGUAACAC